rnacentral:sRNA from 1 species
UUUUUUUAUUUCUUUUUAAUAACCCCUCCAAUUUAAUAAUUGAAAUACUUAUCAAUAUAAAUUUAUUUUCUAAACUAAUUCAUAUACAUAAAAAUCUAUGUAUUUUUCUUUAUAAUUUGAUAUGCAUUUUGUUAAUAUUUUUAAUAUAUUACAGACAUUUUAUCAGUAGUCGGUACACUUAAUUAUGUGUACAGACUUUAUUUUGUACGUUGCAUUAGCUGUACAGAGUAUAUAAUUGUAUGGAGUAUACAAUUAUCAGUAGUCACUUUUCACUGUUGAUUCGUACACUUAGACCUGUACAAUAUUUUUAGUGUAUAUAUAUAUAUAUAAAUAUACACAACGUACACUUACAUCUGUACACUAAAAAAUGUUGUACAGAUCUAAGUGUACGAAUCAAACAGUUAAAAGUGACUACUUUGCAAAUUGUGAAUAGUAAAAUGACUAUUUUUCCAAUUAUGGCUGGACGAUUUCAAUUUGUACUUAUUAAAUAAGUUGUAUAAAUAAAAAUCUGUACACAUAAUUAACUGUACUGACUACUAAUAAAAAUGUU